rnacentral:tRNA from 1 species
GGAGAGGUGACCGAGCUGGCUGAAGGUGCACGACUGGAAAUCGUGUGAGCGUCAAAAACGUUCCCCGGGUUCGAAUCCCGGCCUCUCCGCAA